GUCCGUAAGACCAGAUGCUGCGACAAAUGUUCCAGCGAAAUGAACCUAGAAAAUGAUCCCGGGUGCUCGCUGGGGGAGCAGAGGAUUCCUCAGUUCUAUCGCUAAGGCUUUAACAGACAUCAGUCACAGGAAUCUCCAGCCUCAACAGAAAAAUGCCAGCCAACCCGGCUCCCUGGCACCCCCACCUGGUCCUGCAAGAACAGCUGACUGGCCAUCUGCACGAUCUGGUCCACGUGGAUGAUACCCCCGAUGCUGGUCAUCUCCGUGUCCGAGAGCAGCGUCAGCACCAUGAUGGCUUCCACCAGCAGCUGCCGGUACUCGGGCUGGGGCACGCGGUUCAGCACUGACUCGACGUGGACAGCAAACUUGAUCUCAUGUGGGGUCAUCUAGCAAAGGGACGGGCAGGUGACCACCAGUGAGAGACAGGACAGAGGCAGCCCUAUCACCAAGUAACCAAGGGUGACUGCAUCAUUGCCUGGGAUCGAGGCUCAGCACCACUGCUGCCCCCUUUCUGGUCACUGUCUGGAUUCUGCUGGUGGCAACCCUCAGAGCAAGAGUCAGCCUGUCUGAGCCUGAUUUAUCUACCCUUCCCACCAUAGACUACAGCUUCCAGGGAGCAGUGACCAAUUCUGCUUUCUCUUUCCUCUUCAUUAUUCCUUGCAGCAUAAAGCAUGGUGCUUUGGGUGGGGGAAGACUAACAAAAUCCACAUUAAAAAGAAUGGCAAAUCA